rnacentral:rRNA from 1 species
CGAACGGAAAGGCCCUGCUUGCAGGGUACUCGAGUGGCGAACGGGUGAGUAACACGUGGGUGAUCUGCCCUGCACUUCGGGAUAAGCUUGGGAAACUGGGUCUAAUACCGGAUAGGACCGCACUUUAGUGUGUGUGGUGGAAAGUUUUUUCGGUGUAGGAUGAGCUCGCGGCCUAUCAGCUUGUUGGUGGGGUAAUGGCCUACCAAGGCGGCGACGGGUAGCCGGCCUGAGAGGGUGUACGGCCACAUUGGGACUGAGAUACGGCCCAGACUCCUACGGGAGGCAGCAGUGGGGAAUAUUGCACAAUGGGCGCAAGCCUGAUGCAGCGACGCCGCGUGGGGGAUGAAGGCCUUCGGGUUGUAAACUCCUUUCGCUAGGGACGAAGCUUUUUGUGACGGUACCUAGAUAAGAAGCACCGGCUAACUACGUGCCAGCAGCCGCGGUAAUACGUAGGGUGCGAGCGUUGUCCGGAAUUACUGGGCGUAAAGGGCUCGUAGGUGGUUUGUCGCGUCGUCUGUGAAAUUCUGGGGCUUAACUCCGGGCGUGCAGGCGAUACGGGCAUAACUUGAGUGCUGUAGGGGUAACUGGAAUUCCUGGUGUAGCGGUGAAAUGCGCAGAUAUCAGGAGGAACACCGAUGGCGAAGGCAGGUUACUGGGCAGUUACUGACGCUGAGGAGCGAAAG